ACGAACGCUGGCGGCGUGCUUAACACAUGCAAGUCGAGCGGUAAGGCCCUUUCGGGGGUACACGAGCGGCGAACGGGUGAGUAACACGUGGGUGACCUGCCCUCAGCUCUGGGAUAAGCCUGGGAAACUGGGUCUAAUACCGGAUAUGACUUUCUUACGCAUGUAGGAAGGUAGGGAAAGUUCCGGCGGUGCAGGAUGAACCCGCCGGCCUAUCAGCUUGUUGGUGGGGUAAGUGGCCUACCAAGGCGACGACGGGUAGCCGGCCUGAGAGGGCGACCGGUCACACUGGGA
rnacentral:rRNA from 1 species